CCUAAACACACCCAAUCUCAGCUAAUCUUGGAAGCUAAGCAGG
rnacentral:rRNA from 1 species